rnacentral:rRNA from 1 species
UAGGGAAUCUUCGGCAAUGGACGAAAGUCUGACCGAGCAACGCCGCGUGAGUGAAGAAGGUUUUCGGAUCGUAAAACUCUGUUGUUAGAGAAGAACAAGGACGUUAGUAACUGAACGUCCCCUGACGGUAUCUAACCAGAAAGCCACGGCUAACUACGUGCCCGCAGCCGCGGUAAUACGUAGGUGGCAAGCGUUGUCCGGAUUUAUUGGGCGUAAAGCGAGCGCAGGCGGUUUCUUAAGUCUGAUGUGAAAGCCCCCGGCUCAACCGAGGAGGGUCAUUGGAAACUGGGCGACUUGAGUGCAGAAGAGGAGAGUGGAAUUCCAUGUGUAGCGGUGAAAUGCGUAGAUAUAUGGAGGAACACCAGUGGCGAAGGCGGCUCUCUGGUCUGUAACUGACGCUGAGGCUCGAAAGCGUGGGGAGCAAACAGG